GACGAACGCUGGCGGCGUGCUUAACACAUGCAAGUCGAACGGUGACCUCGAGAGCUUGCUCUUGGGUGAUCAGUGGCGAACGGGUGAGUAACACGUGAGGAACCUGCCCCAGACGCUGGAAUAACCCCGGGAAAUCGGAGCUAAUACCGGAUAUGACAUAAGGCCGCAUGGUCAUGUUGUGGAAAGAUGUUCGGUCUGGGAUGGCCUCGCGGCCUAUCAGGUUGUUGGUGAGGUAGUGGGUCAACAAGGCGACGACGGGUAGCCGGCCUGAGGGGGCGAACGGCCACACUGGGACUGAGACACGGCCCAGACUCCUACGGGGGGCAGGAGUGGGGAAUAUUGCACAAUGGGCGAGAGCCUGAUGCAGCGACGCCGCGUGAGGGAUGACGGCCUUCGGGUUGUAAACCUCUUUCAGUAGGGAAGAAGCGCAAGUGACGGUACCUACAGAAGAAGCACCGGCUAGCUACGUGCCAGCCGCCGCUGUAACAC
rnacentral:rRNA from 1 species